AAUCAUUUAAAUUGUCUGCCCAAAGUAAAAAAAAAAAAAAAUUCCAACUCACGCGUUCGCCAACCAAUAUCACGCUUUUCCCUUUCAAUUUCCCAAACCCCAUGAACUGGUAGUAUGGUACCUAUGUCGUUCCUUAUUCCCAAGAUAAUUAAAUCUUCUCCAUUACAAUUCUCAAAAAAAUAAAGAUUACAAAGAUAGUUUCUUUUCUGGUUUACCCAUUUAACAAAGAAAACAAGUAAUAAAACAACAAUUAUAGAUGAACAUACGAACGAGAAUGAAAGAAACUCAUGUUGAAAAGUCGUGAAAGAGAGAUUAAAGGAAUGAGGAGAGAGAAAGAAGGGUUUUGAUGGGAUAAGAGAAGUGAAGCUGCAGCAAAUUGAAGAAAAAAACUUACAGAGAAUGGAUGAAUAUGGUGGGUGGCAAUGGCUGAAUGGCACUUGACAGAGAAUGGAUAAUUUAUAUAAUUAUUUUUUGAGGGGCCCCUAACUUGAACAAGACGGCCCUGUUCCGCAGCACUGCCCCUAGACCCACACCUCCACCCUCCAUCACAUAAGCAUCAGUGUUGAGCUUCAUGUUUCCCGAUCCCGGUGGCAACCAUUCAGCCCGCGACACAAUAUCCCGGAAAUCUCGAAGAUAGAGAGUAGUGGAGAUCAGUGGAUGAACGAACAUUAAUCACAUGCUAAUCCGCGGCACGUUUUCACACUAGUAAUUAAUUAUCGAGCCACUCAAAAUUAGCUAGUCCGAAAGAUUGAAAAAUCAUGAAUCGAUCUAUAUUCAUCAACAUAUUAGUGAUAAUCUCAAGUGUCCAAGAGGCGGGCGCGGGACGUACAAAUAUGUAUCAUGAGGUAUUGUGUUCAUUCUUUUAUCAAAUUCCCAAUUAAUAAUUAAAGUGGAUAGAAAUCCAUGGGAAACAUUGACAAAGGUGGAGCCUUUCACUUCCUACACAAACAUAUAAGAUGAAAUGACUCAAGAUGAAGCUACUGAAGUAAGAGAAGAACUAAAUUCCGGUAUAUUCUGCCGUUACUUGGACGACCUUCACAACUAAUGCCAGAUUUUCAAUUGCUUCUCUCGAGAGCAAGAAUCACAACCUUCACAAAACAGAAAUCCAAUAGAAUGAUAACUUCUCUAUUUGUAUUGUUACUUUUAGAUAUACAUUUUAGAAUUUGAAUUUGUGUGCAAUGACUUGAAUAUUGGUCUGCCUUGGUUGAGUUUGUUGUAACUUUUCAUUAAACUAAUUAUGUACCUUAUCAAUUUGGGGUAAAAAUUAUCACUCAAUCUCAUGUACGAAAGCACACCAUAUAGCACGCAAAGUGUUAGACAAUAUGCUUCAAUGAAGUCAGAGUAUCCAAUUGUCUUUCUAUA